UGGGGAAUAUUGCACAAUGGGCGCAAGCCUGAUGCAGCCAUGCCGCGUGUAUGAAGAAGGCCUUAGGGUUGUAAAGUACUUUCAGUCGGGAGGAAGGCGUUGAUGCUAAUAUCAUCAACGAUUGACGUUACCGACAGAAGAAGCACCGGCUAACUCCGUGCCAGCAGCCGCGGUAAUACGGAGGGUGCAAGCGUUAAUCGGAAUUACUGGGCGUAAAGCGCACGCAGGCGGUUGAUUAAGUUAGAUGUGAAAUCCCCGGGCUUAACCUGGGAAUGGCAUCUAAGACUGGUCAGCUAGAGUCUUGUAGAGGGGGGUAGAAUUCCAUGUGUAGCGGUGAAAUGCGUAGAGAUGUGGAGGAAUACCGGUGGCGAAGGCGGCCCCCUGGACAAAGACUGACGCUCAGGUGCGAAAGCGUGGGGAGCAAACA
rnacentral:rRNA from 1 species